UCGUGUAAAACAUUGUAUUUUCUCCUGGUAGUUCUCAAAGCAAUACGUGUUCUUGGGCAGUCAUUGAUUUUGAUGUUAUCAAUGAAAUCCUUGGAGGUAAAGUUUAAACUUUAGUAAGGGUCCAUAUGAGUCCGAUAGAGAAAAAUAUGUAGCACUCUCAGUCCCAAUGGGCCACUGCAGUGACCCAGAAAUAUUAGCGCAAUGUCACAAGAACGUUGUGUGAGCGUAAUAUUCUACCUCUGUCCAUUGUAUAUAAAUCCUUGGUCCGGCUUUCUGGUUUGUGUGACUUCCAGCCAAGGCCUGUUCCACUGGGGCAGAAUACAAAGACCCAGGCCUUAUGAAGCCCUGAGCAGUGCAGCUCGAGGCAUAAACAAGACAGUCACAUAUACUUUUCAUUUGUGUAUGGGUGUAUUUUUAAAAUAUGUCAUUAUGAUGUAUUUUUUACACUAUAUUCAUAUGGGGUGGGGGCAGUGGGUGCUGACCACAGGGAACCGAACCCCCUGGUUGUUUGGGGGAAUUGUAUAUGGGUUGAAGGUGAAGCUGUCCUUUCCCCUGCUUUAAAAGAAGGCCUCCCCGGCACACUCUCAUUCUAAAAUGGCCACCUGUUUAUCCUUCCAAUAUGAAUGAAUUUCAUAGAAUUAAAAAUAUAUAGUUGUGACCAGGUUUCUUCUCUGUGAAGUUGAACAGGCGAGUGGGUGAGGGUGGGGAAAUAUACAUUUAAAGAAAUGCUAUGGCUUUGUAGUUCGCAUUUAUGAGCUCCAUGUUUGAAGAGAAUGAUUACUUCAUAGCAGUCAUCAUUCUCUUACUACCAUUAUUUAAUGUAAACUGAAUCCAUCAUAUGGUCGUAUGUGUGGGUGAGCGAUUGUAUGCUUAUUCACUGUGGUUAUACGCUGUCUGUCUCUUGUUCUUUCUCUCUGUUCUGUGUUUUAUUGCUGUGUCCUGUGUUCUCUCUCUCUCUGUGUUGUGUUCUCUCUGUGUUCUCUCUCUCUUUCCUUUGUGUGUGUGUGUGUGUGUGUGUACUGGGAUCAUUUGUUCAUCAACUGAAACAUGUUCAGCACUAGGCACAUAGGCUAGAAAACACUAUUAUCAAACUAACAUGGAAUGUACACACGCGCACACACACACACACACAUACACAGUAACACUGAUACACUCGCACACGCACAGAGAGAGAGUUCAGCCGAUUUAUCAUAAUAUGCUUUAUCUGAAAAGUAAGUAUCUUACCUCGGGAUAAAGAGAGGAAAGAGAGCUUUCCCAUCAGUGGGGCAGAGGAGAGGAGGAUGGAGGGAGCGGGUCAGUCGCAUGGAGGGAGGACAGGACAGAGCCCGGGCGCUCAGACGGACACACGGAACAGAACGUGGGGGGACAAGAUGGAGGAGAGGAGACGAGAGGCCGGCGAGGUCACAUGGUCAAGGCACUGGGCCUCGCUCGCAGAGCUGGAACUCAGGCUGAUACGCAGGAGGACAGACAGAGGGACUCGGCCGGACGGACAGAUGGACGGACAGACGUGGACUGCCAGAAUGAGAGACCCUCUGUGUGACUGGUGGACAGGCAAUGGAUAUGACAGCAGCAGAGGUGGAGCUGUGCUGGAGGCUGUAAUGGUGGGCUGGCCAAUGCUUAAUGGCUCUUUGUGGCUGUCUCUGAGUCUUGAUGCCCUCCUUCCCAGUUUGCCGGAAGAGGCCUCCCUGAACCUGCCGCAGUGAGCCGCAGUGGAAUGAACCCAGGUAAGUAUGCCCAGGUAAGUAUGCCCAGGUAAAGGCCUUUGGGCAGCACAUUGCUCAUUACUCACCUGCCUUUUAAUUAAUUAAUCGACUGGGUGCCGAUUAACACACCCACUGCCUUUGACCGCCCGCCGUUGAGUGCAUGAAUUAACUCGCUUCAGACGAUCGUUCAUCAGGCAUGCUGUCACAUGGCUGGCACGAGGUCGCCAAUCAAGUCUACCAGGAUAGACUACGGUAGGAUUUAGGAAGCGAAAGCAUAUUAACAGAGGCACACGAUGCACCAUUAUGACCUGUCCUUUUGUCAUCAGGGCUUAGCCCUCCAUAAGGAUUGCAAGAAAUAUUGCAUUAAAGCAUGUCUGCAGUACAUUCUAUUCAUAAUAACAGCAUCAUUGAUUGAUUGAUUGAUUUUAUUCAAUAAUUUUUAAAAAGAGAAAAACAUGCACCUGAAGCCAGCUUCUCUUACACA